rnacentral:rRNA from 1 species
AUUGAACGCUGGCGGCAGGCCUAACACAUGCAAGUCGAGCGGAUGAAGGGAGCUUGCUCCUGGAUUCAGCGGCGGACGGGUGAGUAAUGCCUAGGAAUCUGCCUGGUAGUGGGGGAUAACGUCCGGAAACGGGCGCUAAUACCGCAUACGUCCUGAGGGAGAAAGUGGGGGAUCUUCGGACCUCACGCUAUCAGAUGAGCCUAGGUCGGAUUAGCUAGUUGGUGGGGUAAAGGCCUACCAAGGCGACGAUCCGUAACUGGUCUGAGAGGAUGAUCAGUCACACUGGAACUGAGACACGGUCCAGACUCCUACGGGAGGCAGCAGUGGGGAAUAUGGGACAAUGGGCGAAAGCCUGAUCCAGCCAUGCCGCGUGUGUGAAGAAGGUCUUCGGAUUGUAAAGCACUUUAAGUUGGGAGGAAGGGCAGUAAGUUAAUACCUUGCCGUUUUGACGUUACCAACAGAAUAAGCACCGGCUAACUUCGUG